rnacentral:misc_RNA from 1 species
UUUCCGUAGGUGAACCUGCGGAAGGAUCAUUACAGUGUUCUCCGCCCUCACGGGUAGAAACGCCCACCCUUGUAUAUUAUAUCUUUGUUGCUUUGGCAGGCCGCCCUCGGGCACCGGCUCCGGCUGGAUCGCGCCUGCCAGAGGAAACCCAAACUCUGAAUGUUAGUGUCGUCUGAGUACUAUCUAAUAGUUAAAACUUUCAACAACGGAUCUCUUGGUUCUG